CGUGUGUGUGUGCGUGUGUGAGGGGACGGGAGCUGGCUCUGGCCUGGCCCUCGGGGAGGGCACAGGGCUGGGAGAGCCGCAGCUCCGCAGAGAGCUGAAAACGCUGUGCCAUGGGGACCUGAGGGAGGGUGGUUGAACCUCAAGCCUAGCCCUCUUUUUAGUUUUCUUUUUUUCUUUUCUUUCUCUCUCUCUCUCUCUUUUUUUUUUUUUUUUUUUUUUUUUUUUUUUCCUCCAACGUCGUUUUAAAGUCACCGGAGGGAAAAGGAAAAGAAAAGCGAAAUGUGAAACCGAAGAGGAACGUCUAUAAAAACUUACAUGUUGAGCCAGCUUUAACACUGCAGCCACAUUCGACUCGGAGUAGCACCCGUACCGGCCGGCCUGGGGCGAGUUAAAAUAGCCCUCCUGACAGAGGCUAAAUAGUAUAAGAAAUAAUCAACCGCCUUCACCUGGGAAAAAGUCUGAACCUAGCCAGUUCUCUGAUGGAGACUUGACAAGUAACAUCAAACAUGGCCCAAGAACAAAGCUAACCAACCACGGCCUGAAGCAUCCUUCAACCAAAAGUCACCUUUAGUCAAGCUUUGCCAUCUAAUUUGCAGUGUUUCUGUUUGUACUCUUCAGGCAGAAGAACUAAAACUCUUACAGUGUAAAGCUCUCUUGGUUUCUGCUCAGUAAGAUUACAUUGAGGAUGCUGCAACUAUUUAACACUUUUAGCAACCUUUGGCUGCAGCCAUCCUGGUGUUCUCACUUCAGAAAUGCAGAUCCAAGCCCACUACCUUUUUCCUACUGUUUAUUUGUGUGUGUGUGUGUUUUAAUGUGUCCUGAAUAACACUGCUGUAAGACUCCAAUUUUAAAGUGCAACUUAAUCCCCUUCUGUGCCAGUGUCCUGAAACAGAGCUAAAUUACCUUCAUAGAUUAUUGUUUUUUUAAUUUAGUUGGGUCAAAUAGAUGGCAAUGCUAUAUCUCACUGAGUGAAAGACUGCAAUGACUUGUUUGCUUGAAUCAAAGUAAACAAAGACAGUAGACAGGUCCUUCUCUCAAGAGGAAAAAUCCUUACAAAAAGGAAUGUCACCAGCAAAAAUCAUCAACUCAUGGAGACAAUAAGAAGAGGAAAAAAUGAACCUUAUAAUACAGAGUAAUUUUCCACUUUGAAGGAUGGCCAUACAAACUCAUUAAGCAUAGCAUUAACAUUCAAGGCUUUAACAAUCAGGAUUUUUUGGGGGGGGGACUCUCAAAGAUCUCAUGAUUUUCUAAAAACUUGAAUCAUUAACUUGAGACCUAGGUGAUCAUUAAAAUAUGCCAUCACUUGCUUUAUUCAGUAUUUAACUGUCCUUCUGGAUUCACAAGUACUCAGAUAAAGGUUAUACAAAUUGUGUUUUGCUCUGUACAGAUUUCAACUCCUAAUACCACAUGAACCAACAGCAUUUGGUAAGAAGUUCCACUCUGUGUAUGACCCUCAGUGUCUGCUCUGAGUAGGCUGAAGUUGUGCCAGAGAUCUACUGAUUGGAUCCUGAGUUUUCCCUCUGAAGACUGGCUGCUGAGGAGGACUGUGAUAAGAACUACCAUACAGGAUAAUCCAAUAAGCCAAUGUUAAAAGUAUGCUGACACUCAAAGGCAAGCACCAGUCAUUUUUUAAAAACAGCUUUUCCAGAAAGCAAAACAAAACAAAAACCAGAGCCUUUUCUAAUUUUACUUUAUUUUAUUGAGUUAUGCUUCCUUUAUUAAGACUCAUGAUUUUUGGACUGCCUACUCUUCUCAAUUCUCAAAGGAAGAUUUGUCAGGAGGAAGACAGGGAAGAAAUUAAAGGGAAGGACAGUUUCUCUGUUGUAAAUGAAUUUUCUUUGUUCUUUACUUUUUAUGAUGGUCUUUAUAUUUAUAUUUUAUGUUGAUAAAAUACAGCUGUAAUUAGGAUUAUUCCUCUUCCUGCACUUCCUUCAUUUAUUUGUCCCCAUCUCCGAUUCAUUUUGUUUCUUCCUUCCUUUUAUGUAUCACUAUUUUUGCCUCUGCACUUCAAUCUCCAGUAAUUUAUGUCCCAGUGGAAUUAUAUCAGCUCAUCCUCAGUAGAAGAGUUCUAUGUACCCUUCAACAGUUACAUUAAAGACAAUAAAAUUCUUGGAUUUCAUAUACAUAUAUGCCAAUCUCUUUCUUGUGUGUUUGGCGUUCUGCCACAGAUAUUCCCUUUUUCAACAAAACACCUUCUCCAGAGUGAUUCCAACCAUGCCACAAAUAAGAUAGCUACAAAAAACUUAGGCUAAGACUUCAGACAGGGUUGCAUGUUGUAUGUUUCGAAUAUCUUAGCAAUAUCUGUCAGUACUUCUACCACCUUCACUGAAACAGAUAUAGAUAAUCUUUGAUUACAUUUACAAAAUAAUUGACUGUUCCCCUUGCUUCUAUUGUCUUUCCACUGUUCUCUAUUCUUCACAUCCUACUCCUCUCUAUUCUAUUCUUUUGCCUGACUAAUUUAGAUUGCAUGCUUUUUGAAGCAUCAUUCUUAUCAUUUUAUGGGCUCUGCUUAGCGCACAUGAACAAACUCCCAUCAGUUUGGAUGUGUAUCAGUUUGGAUGUAUAUAUAUGUGUGUAUAUGUAUGUAUAUAUAUAUAUAUAUGGGUGUCAUGUAAUGCCAG
ensembl:lncRNA